CUGCAGAAGAGGCAGGAUGCUCCGAGGUGGGUCCCGGGUGCUGGGGGGCCGUGCCCUCCCUCUUUCCUUCCCCGGGAUCACAGCCAGGGGCCCCCCCGCGCAGCCCUGAGGUGGAUUCGAGAAGCAGACCUCGGGCAGCACGGGGCUCAGAGGCCAGAAUCAGAGCUGACGCUGCCUGGGUCCUUCCCGUCACUCUCCAGGAUGAGAUCAUUGAGACAAUGGUUCCUAAAAAAUAAAAGGGCCUUUCUGUUUCCCUUUCCAAAUAUGUUCUAGGACAUUCUCAGAAUGCCCCGGGGGAUACGUGCUCUUCAAACUUUCAACAUGGUGAAGGCCUGGGAGGUGGUGGACCGCGACAAGAACGCUGGGAGUGUGACCAGCACAGGCCCGGAGGCGCCCAGGGCCUCAUCUCUCCGCGUCUGAGCUCCCGGUUUCAUGCUCAGCCAAGGAAUUCGAGCUUCACUUUUAGCGUCAGGGAGAAAACUAAAGAUUGGAGCCCACUAGAAACUUAUUUUCCCUGUGUUGCAAAGAAGAAGUCACGGGGUCGCCGGUAAGUGAGUGCAGCUGAUGCACGCCGCCCGCCUCGGCGCCAGCUCCUGCGCUCCUCAUUUCCAGUCCUAAGGACGACUCGGCGCCUUGGCUAUUUAUUGCCAUCCCCAGCCUUACCCCUGAGGACGCCAAAGCAGAAGAAGGUGAGGAGGCAGCGGCACUGUGGCACUGGAACCCUAUCUACCUGCCAGGGUGUUUUCCUGUGUGGGCGGCGCUGAAGGCUGCACGGUCUCAGGGUUCUCGGGGGACAGGCUUCUGCCUCAGAGAAGCU
rnacentral:lncRNA from 1 species